rnacentral:rRNA from 1 species
AGUGAACGCUGGCGGUAGGCCUAACACAUGCAAGUCGAACGGCAGCACAGUAAGAGCUUGCUCUUACGGGUGGCGAGUGGCGGACGGGUGAGGAAUACAUCGGAAUCUACUUUUUCGUGGGGGAUAACGUAGGGAAACUUACGCUAAUACCGCAUACGACCUACGGGUGAAAGCAGGGGAUCUUCGGACCUUGCGCGAUUGAAUGAGCCGAUGUCGUAUUAGCUAGUUGGCGGGGUAAAGGCCCACCAAGGCGACGAUCCGUAGCUGGUCUGAGAGGAUGAUCAGCCACACUGGAACUGAGACACGGUCAAGACUCCUACGGGAGGCAGCAGUGUGGAAUAUUGGACAAUGGGCGCAAGCCUGAUCCAGCCAUACCGCGUGGGUGAAGAAGGCCUUCGGGUUGUAAAGCCCUUUUGUUGGGAAAGAAAAGCAGCAGGUUAAUACCCAGCUGUUCUGACGGUACCAAAAGAAUAAGCACCGGCUAACUUCGUG